AUUCAGCAAUGGAUCUUAGUGGCGAACGGGUGAGUAACGCGUAGGCAAUCUGCCUUCUAGAUGGGGACAACAUCCCGAAAGGGGUGCUAAUACCGAAUGUUGUAGUUGGUUCGCAUGGACUAGCUACUAAAGGUGGCCUCUGAAUAUGCUACCGCUAGAAGAUGAGCCUGCGUCUGAUUAGCUAGUUGGAGGGGUAACGGCCCACCAAGGCUUCGAUCAGUAGCCGGUCUGAGAGGAUGAACGGCCACACUGGGACUGAGACACGGCCCAGACUCCUACGGGAGGCAGCAGUGGGGAAUCUUCCGCAAUGGACGAAAGUCUGACGGAGCAACGCCGCGUGAGUGAAGAAGGUUUUCGGAUCGUAAAGCUCUUUCGUUAGGGACGAACGUGCUCUUUGUGAAUAAUGAGGAGUAAUGACGGUACCUAAAUAAGAAGCCACGGCUAACUACGUGCCAGCAGCCGCGGUAAUACGUAGGUGGCAAGCGUUGUCCGGAAUUAUUGGGCGUAAAGCGCGCGCAGGCGGGAUAUCAAGUCUGUCUUAAAAGUGCGAGGCUCAACCUCGUGA
rnacentral:rRNA from 2 species